UACGAAGGGGACUAGCGUUGUUCGGAAUCACUGGGCGUAAAGCGCACGUAGGCGGAUUCGUAAGUCAGGGGUGAAAUCCCGGGGGCUCAACCUCGGAACUGCCUUUGAUACUGCGGGUCUUGAGUCCGAUAGAGGUGGGUGGAAUUCCUAGUGUAGAGGUGAAAUUCGUAGAUAUUAGGAAGAACACCGGUGGCGAAGGCGGCCCACUGGAUCGGUACUGACGCUGAGGUGCGAAAGCGUGGGGAGCAAACAGG
rnacentral:rRNA from 1 species